AAAAACCAAGGGUAACCAAACACCAAACAAAAAGACAUCCAGAAAGGCUUGUGAAGCUAUCUGAUGAAUAUAUCUUCCCCAUGAAAAAUUAUUUACUUGAAUAAAAAAAUAAAUCAUUUGCUGAUUUGCUCUCAUGAAGCUUUAUAUCAUUCUCUUCUGGAAGAUUCACCCGGUUCUCGUGUUCUUCUUCAAGCUAAAGAAACAUUUGAUAAGAAUUUCUAUGGAUUUUGGUAUCAUAUCAGAUUUGAAAGUUGGGCAUGAUUUCUGUUUCUCAAUUGUAUGUGGAACGGGAAUCACCAUCACCAAGCACUCAUUUACCUAACGAAUUAUGGGAGCAUAGUAAUUGGUCUGGAUGCAGAUAGAGUGAUAAAGAUAGACUUCGUACCACCCAGUGAAACUUGUAUGAUUGCAUUCCCAAGAAGUUGUGCAGAUUGCAGGAGGCUUGUCCCUGAAGGAGGACGUUGUGAAUAGCUUAAAUGUGUGUAAUGUUCUAUAAUUAAUCAAUUAGUUUUUCAUACACAUUUCUACUUGAGUAUUAGGCUCCAUUUGGAACAUGCUAGACUUUGAAAAGGGUAAAAGGAAAAAGCAUUCCUCACAGCUGAAGGCGUUAAGCAAAGUCAAUGAAGGCGUUAAGCAAAGUCAUGCAAAGGAAGCACAAAAUAAAACAAAAUGCAUAAUCCCCACACUCUUGAGGUCUUUUGCACAGACAAGGGUAAAAGGAAAAAGCAUUCCUCACAGCUGCUCUUUGCGAUAUUACAGUUAACAAGGGGAACUAUCCCGUCGCUGGAUUAAAAACGGUUAAGAAAGCUCUCAGAGGUGCCAGAGUUGAAGUAUCCUUAGAUUAAAUUUAAUGAAAUUACCGUGUUUCAACUGUCUUACUUACAUGUUAUCGAGAUUGAGCAAGUUCACGAUGAGAUUGAAAGGGUUAUUGUUGGUAUUGAAGCUUACUUGAGCAUUAGGUCGCAUACAUAUGAUAUUGGUGUCUCUGUUUUUGAGUUCAAUGAUGAAAGUGUGAAAGAUCGUAAAGAAAAGGCUUCAUCUUCCAUUUGAAGCUCAACUAGGGGUUGGAAAGUCUUAUGACUUUGCUCCAAUCAGCUGCCCCGAGCAACCUGAAUCUCUCGCAAUUGUGCAUGCCACUCACUUGUCUUUUAGAGUCAGUCAAUAUUACCGUCCUCCCGGCACUCCUCAAAAAAGUUUCUAAAUAUCAGGCCUUAUCGUGGUUUUUACAUUAUGUUUGCAUUCUGUAUAAGACUAAACAACAGUGUUCUCGUAAGAGGAGAGAGUGAUCCUCCAUUUCAGGAUAGUGUUACUGAAAUUGGAGGAAGCAGUGCAAGUGGUGGUGGUGUUCUUGUUGGGGAUAAUGUCAUGGACUGUGGUGCUGGUGCAAAUGAUAGUGAGAAUUGGAUUUCUGAAGAUGAAGUAGAUGAAUUGCCUAAUAGAAAUUCUGAAGAUGGGGUCUGUGUUAAUGAUAUUGGAGAUGGAGAUGGUGAUGAUGCAGCGCCUGCAGACUCUGGUCCUAUUAGGAAUUGACGUAGGUGCAAUGGUUGGGUUGUGUAUGCGGAACAUCAUACAUUCAGUAAGUACGUGGUGAAUGUGGGGGUGAUGCUUAUUGGGAUUAAGCAUAUGGUAGCUGGUGGUGGAAGAUUGGGGUUUGGUUCCAUUACUUUUCCCGCGGCAAUAAGCAGAGAGAUUAGUCGGCUUGCUGCAAUGCCGGUGCUUGCUCAUGGAAUGCAAUAUCCUUUCCUCAAUUUGGUUUUACCUGCAGUUAGACGUACUGCAGCAAAAAUUGCUACCUUUUGUUGAGGCAGGACAUGGUGUUUGGAAUCCUGCAGAAUGGCAAUGCCACCAGCUAAUCCAGCCGCACCAGCUCUAGCAGCAGCGACUGAGCCAACAACAAUACCAGCACCAAUAACUGAGCAGCAUAAAGCCAUAGAGCACUAGCAGGAGCAAUCAAGGUGCCUGAUUCUUUUUAAUAACAUCCGUGGAUAUUAGAAAAACAAUUGGAUUUUUGUUUUUCAAAUGAGAUGCCCGACUCAUGUAUGGUUCGGAACAUUGAGAAUGGUUACUGGAUUUGCAUCUGGACCUUCUCUGAUUAUUAGUUUUUUGGAUAUGGGUACCAUCUGGGUACAAAAUUUUAUAUAAUUUCUUGUUUUACUUUUCUUUUAGCUAAUUUGAAUGUGUAUUUGUUUUGGUGAAUGAAUAUUUGGUGGUUUGAUAGGUUUAA